GAUGAACGCUGGCGGCGUGCCUAAUACAUGCAAGUCGAGCGAACGGACGAGAAGCUUGCUUCUCUGAUGUUAGCGGCGGACGGGUGAGUAACACGUGGAUAACCUACCUAUAAGACUGGGAUAACUUCGGGAAACCGGAGCUAAUACCGGAUAAUAUUUUGAACCGCAUGGUUCAAAAGUGAAAGACGGUCUUGCUGUCACUUAUAGAUGGAUCCGCGCUGCAUUAGCUAGUUGGUAAGGUAACGGCUUACCAAGGCAACGAUGCAUAGCCGACCUGAGAGGGUGAGCGGCCACACUGGAACUGAGACACGGUCCAGACUCCUACGGGAGGCAGCAGUAGGGAAUCUUCCUCAAUGGGCUAAAGCCUGACGGAGCAACGCCGCGUGAGUGAUGAAGGUCUUCGGAUCGUAAAACUCUUUUAUGAGGGAAGAACAAAUGUGUAAGUAACUAUGCACGUCUUGACGGUACCUAAUCAGAAAGCCACGGCUAACUACGUG
rnacentral:rRNA from 1 species